AUAACCUUAUCUUCUUGGGUAUAUAAAACUAUUUACAUACUAGGUGCGUUUGCAGAGAUACACCCACAUCUCUGAGUUGUGCUUUCAUUCAGUUCGCGAUAUUUUCUCGUUCCGCAGAUAUUUUAUCUUCGCUCCAAAAUGUAGGACUUUUUUAUAAGGUUCAAAUGCCAGAUAAAACAUAGAAAUAAGAAUAUUCAUAUGGCAGGUGUACCGGUAUGCAGUGAGCGUUAAGAUACAAAUGUGUUGGAUACUUAACAGAAAAAAUCAUUGUUUUAAUCCAGAACAAUUAUCAAUAUCGACUGCAAGCACAGAUUGAUUCGGUAAGAAGGCAAUGUAAGUAUGUUGAUGGGAUCAGAAGGGUGUGGUAUAUCAUGAGCUUCUAAAAUCGGGUGAAACUGUUAAUACUAAUCGUUACAGAUAGCAAAUUAUUAGUUUGAAGCAUGGAUUGAUCGAAAAACGAUCAGAAUGGGCCAGAAGACACGACAAAAGUAAUUUUGUUACACGACAAUGCACCUGCACACAAAGUAAAAAUGGUUUAGUUUACAAUCAAAGUACUUGGCUGGGAGCUGCUCCCCAUCCGCCGUAUUCACCAGACUUGGCCCUUUCCGAUUACCAUUUGUUUUCAUCAAUCAAUAUGCAUUGGCUGCAACAUACUGUUCCCAGCGUCUUGUUGGACUUAAAAUAUUAAGUUUUUAUUACUUUUUCACUGCUUCAUAGUGUUCUUUUUGAAAUUAAUCUAAUCUCUUAAACCCUUUUAAAUUUCUUCAAAAUUAGUAAAAAUCGCAAACUUCCCAACUUGAAUGCACAAAUCUAACCCGCUAAGCUAAUAUUGUUCACAAAAUGUAAUUUUUUUCAUUUCUCUGCGCCGUAAGUACUUACGUACUACAAUACAUAUGCUUUUUUAGUAAAUAAGUGAAGUCAAAUAAAUGUUGCGCAUACCACCUGUGGUACCCUUAUGGUUUAUGUGCAUUUUGCUACGAAUAAAAGCAAAGGGCAAAACGGUAAACAUUUUAACAUAUUUAACAACGGUAAGCGAAACAAACAAUGCCAACAAAAAGCAUUAACUUUUACAACUGACUUACUUAGGCUUUUCAAAAGUGUUGCAUAUGCACAUAAAGGGGAAAGCAUUGUGGCAGCGUGGUUACGAGCGAGAGUAGCAAAGUGGGUAAAUACAGAAAUGUGCAUGAAAGGAAAUGAAAACCAUUGAAUUUUGAGUAGAUGUGAAAUAAAAUACAGUUUUUGUACUAAUUCAUUUAUUGUACUUAAUUUAGAAAUAACAUUUAAGGAAAACGAAACAAGUUUGUGUUAAUUUUUUGUUGUAUGUUUUUAUUAACAAUUAAAAAAAGGAAC